rnacentral:rRNA from 1 species
UUUAUGGAGAGUUUGAUCCUGGCUCAGGACGAACGCUGGCGGCGUGCUUAACACAUGCAAGUCGAACGGAAAGGCUCCUUGCUUGCAAGGGGUACUCGAGUGGCGAACGGGUGAGUAACACGUGGGUGAUCUGCCUUGCACUUCGGGAUAAGCCUGGGAAACUGGGUCUAAUACCGGAUAGGACCAUGCUUUAGUGUGUGUGGUGGAAAGUUUUUUCGGUGCAAGAUGAGCCCGCGGCCUAUCAGCUUGUUGGUGGGGUAAUGGCCUACCAAGGCGACGACGGGUAGCCGGCCUGAGAGGGUGUACGGCCACAUUGGGACUGAGACACGGCCCAGACUCCUACGGGAGGCAGCAGUGGGGAAUAUUGCACAAUGGGCGCAAGCCUGAUGCAGCGACGCCGCGUGGGGGAUGACGGCCUUCGGGUUGUAAACUCCUUUCGCUAGGGAAGAAGCCACUUUGUGGUGACGGUACCUGGAUAAGAAGCACCGGCUAACUACGUGCCAGCAGCCGCGGUAAUACGUAGGGUGCGAGCGUUGUCCGGAAUUACUGGGCGUAAAGAGCUCGUAGGUGGUUUGUCGCGUCGUCUGUGAAAUCCCGGGGCUUAACUUCGGGCGUGCAGGCGAUACGGGCAUAACUAGAGUGCUGUAGGGGAGACUGGAAUUCCUGGUGUAGCGGUGAAAUGCGCAGAUAUCAGGAGGAACACCGAUGGCGAAGGCAGGUCUCUGGGCAGUUACUGACGCUGAGGAGCGAAAGCAUGGGUAGCGAACAGGAUUAGAUACCCUGGUAGUCCAUGCCGUAAACGGUGGGCGCUAGGUGUGGGGGUUUUAUUUACGAUUCC